ensembl:lncRNA
AUGAGAACCUUUCUUUCUUUCUUUCUUUCUUUCUUUCUUUCUUUCUUUCUUUUUUUCUUUCUUUCUUUUUUUCUUUCUUUCUUUUUUUCUUUCUCUCUCUCUUUCUUUCUUUUUUUCUUUCUUUCUUUUUUUCUUUCUUUCUUUCUUUCUUUCUGUCUCUCUCUCUUUCUUUCUUUCUUUCUUUCUUUCUUAUCAAGAGACCUCGAGUUGACAGAGGCAAUGAGAUGGUGUUCGGCUGCUUCCUUUCCUCUGCCUCCAGCGCACAAAAUCAAAGACAUGAGACUUACAAGCAGCGAAAAACUUCCCCAAGGGAAAUACCAGGCUUGCUUCAUGAUUUGGAUGUUUCCUGAGGAAGGAGCCACAUGUGCUGUUGAUUACAGCGCUGAAUGCUAGCGGCUGUAAGUGAACAAGGACCAUUGCACAGGCAAGAAUUGACGUACAUUCUUUCAGCUGUGAUGUCACAUCCUGUCAGUCACACUGUUUGUGCCCCGGCACACACACACACACACACACACACACACACACACCUGUCCUCUGUCUCUCCUUUUUUACUGACAACACACACUCAGGCAUCUCAAAGAAACCUCAAGCUCACCUUCCACACAAACACACUGCAUCUGUCUCACAUCCACCUCUCUCAUCUCUGCAGAUAUCACACACAUUCGAAGUCUCACCUUACACACACACACACACACGUCUCACGUCUGAUGUUACACAGAUGCAGCUCUGAUUGUUCUCCAGAGACCUCGACACACGCUGACUGAAUCUAAACCAGAGUGUCUUGUUUUCUGUCUUGUGUUUGUUUCAUGGUGCGGACUUUCCACUGACUUUAAUUGCUUUUGUUUUUAGCGAAUUAUAAUUGGUAUACCCUAACCUCCAAAUCAAACUCUUCAAGAAACCAUUUUGUAUUUUAUAAUAAUUUAUAAUUAAUAAUCUCUGAUUCAAAGCAAAAAUAAAUAAAAAAGUACUCAAGUAUAUCA